rnacentral:rRNA from 1 species
GCAGAAGAAGCCCCGGCUAAAUACGUGCCAGCAGCCGCGGUAAUAUGUAGGGCGCGAGCGUUAUCCGGAUUCAUUGGGCGUAAAGCGCGCGUAGGCGGCCCCACAUGCCGGGGGUAGAAGCGGGGGGCUCAACCCCCCGAAGCCCCCGGAACCUCCGCGGCUUGGGUCCGGUAGGGGAGGGUGGAACACCCGGUGUAGCGGUGGAAUGCGCAGAUAUCGGGUGGAACACCGGUGGCGAAGGCGGCCCUCUGGGCCGAGACCGACGCUGAGGCGCGAAAGCUGGGGGAGCGAACAGGAUUAGAUACCCUGGUAGUCCCAGCCGUAAACGAGGGACGCUAGGUGUGGGGGGGACGAUCCCCCCGUGCCGCAGCCAACGCAUUAAGCGUCCCGCCUGGGGAGUACGGCCGCAAGGCUAAAACUCAAAGGAAUAGACGGGGGCCCGCACAAGCAGCGGAGCAUGUGGCUUAAUUCGAAGCAACGCGAAGAACCUUACCAGGGCUUGACAUAUGGGUGAAGCGGGGGAGACCCCGUGGCCGAGAGGAGCCCGUACAGGUGGUGCAUGGCUGUCGUCAGCUCGUGUCGUGAGAUGUUGGGUUAAGUCCCGCAACGAGCGCAACCCCCGCCGCGUGUUGCCAUCGGGUGAUGCCGGGAACCCACGCGGGACCGCCGCCGUCAAGGCGGAGGAGGGCGGGGAGGACGUCAAGUCAUCAUGCCCCUUAUGCCCUGGGGUGCACACGUGCUACAAUGGCCGGUACAGAGGGAUGCCACCCCGCGAGGGGGAGCGGAUCCCGGAAAGCCGGCCCCAGUUCGGAUUGGGGGGUGCAACCCGCCCCCACGAAGUCGGAGUUGCUAGUAAUCGCGGAUCAGCAUGCCGCGGUGAAUGAGUUCCCGGGCCUUGCACU